rnacentral:rRNA from 1 species
CUGGAAAUUCUACUAACCUUUACCAAAUUCUAGAUCACUAGUUUUAAAUGCAGUUCCUGGGUUGAGCCCAGGGAUUUCACAUCUAACUUUUUGAUCCGCCUACAUACGCUUUACGCCCAGUGAUUCCGAACAACGCUAGCCCCCUUCGUAUUACCGCGGCUGCUGGCACGAAGUUAGCCGGAGCUUCUUCUUCAACUAAUGUCAUUAUCAUCAUUGAUGAAAGAGUUUUACAACCCGAAGGCCUUCUUCACUCACGCGGCAUUGCUGGAUCAGGGUUUCCCCCAUUGUCCAAUAUUCCCUACUGCUGCCUCCCGUAGGAGUCUGGGCCGUGUCUCAGUCCCAGUGUGGCUGAUCAUCCUCUCAAAUCAGCUAUAGAUCGUAGCCUUGGUGGAGCAGUUACCUCACCAACUAGCUAAUCUAGUGCGGGCUUAUCUGAAGGCGAUAAAUCUUUCUCUUUGCAGACACAUCCGGUAUUAGCUACAGUUUCCCGCAGUUAUUCCGAACCUUCAGGUAAAUUCCCACAUGUUACUCACCCGUGCGCCACUAAAUCCGAAGAUUUCGUUCGACUUGCAUGUAUGAGGCA